UACGUAGGGACCAAGCGUUGUUCGGAUUUACUGGGCGUAAAGGGCGCGUAGGCGGCCACCGCAGGUCGACUGUGAAAUCUCCGGGCUUAACCCGGAAAGGUCAGCCGAUACUGCGGGGCUAGAGUGCAGAAGGGGCAACUGGAAUUCUCGGUGUAGCGGUGAAAUGCGUAGAUAUCGAGAGGAACACCUGCGGCGAAGGCGGGUUGCUGGGCUGACACUGACGCUGAGGCGCGAAAGCUAGGGGAGCGAACGGG
rnacentral:rRNA from 1 species